rnacentral:rRNA from 1 species
CCGGCGACCGGCGCACGGGUGAGUAACACGUAUGCAACCUGCCUGCCACAGCCGGAUAAUCGGGAGAAAUCCCGCCUAAUACAACAUAAUGCCGGGAGGGGACAUCCCCUGCCGGUCAAAGGGGGCGACCCCGGUCAUGGAUGGGCAUGCGGCGCAUUAGGUAGUUGGUGGGGCAACGGCCCACCAAGCCGACGAUGCGUAGGGGUUCUGAGAGGAAGGUCCCCCACAUUGGAACUGAGACACGGUCCAAACUCCUACGGAAGGCAGCAG